AAGACUGUGAAUACAAAUGUUUUUUUUCGUUGUCUUUUAUCUAUUUAGUUAGCUACUCUUUAUUAUAGUGCCUAAAAACAACAAACAUCAAGAGACGUCUUCCUCCAACCAAAUCAACCAUAAAUUCGACAUCAGGACAGGAUGUCAAAAUUUAGCUUCAGGAGAAGUGAAAAGAAAGCCUUUAGACGGAUGGCCAGAGUCUUUGGCUGGCCGGCCUCGCUUGCCCUCUCCUGGGCUCUCUGAAGACCAUGAUGAUGAUGAUGAUGAUGACGACGAAGAGGAGGACGUAGAGAGAUUGGUUCUGUCAGAUGAAGAUGGUCAUGUCUACCAAUCUCUGGAUCGCCAGGGGAGAAGUCCGACCAGAGACAGAUAUGACAUCUACACCCAGCCUGUAAAACAGUGUUCUGUCAGAGGGCAGAGAGGAGACUGAUGACUCCGCCUUCGACAUGUCUCCUCUUCCUCCAGGUUGGUCACACACACACACACACACACACACACACACACACACACACACACACACACACACACACACACACACACACACACACACACACACUGUCUGCACUCACUUACUCACGCCCUGUCACCAAGCCCCAAUCACGCAAUGUCUGUCUGUCUGUCUGUCUGUCUGUCUGUCACAACAGUACAUCUAGUCUGUGAUAGUAUACUGUAAUCUGACUCAUGUAGUCACUGCCAUCAACACAUUAAUGUGUCCCAAAUGGUUCCUUAUGCCCUAUAUAGUGCACUACUUUAGACCAGAGC